rnacentral:rRNA from 1 species
UUCGCCCUACGGGAGGCAGCAGUAGGGAAUCUUCCACAAUGGGCGAAAGCCUGAUGGAGCAACGCCGCGUGGGUGAAGAAGGUCUUCGGAUCGUAAAACCCUGUUGUUAGAGAGGAAAGCGCGUGAGAGUAACUGUUCACGUUUCGACGGUAUCUAACCAGAAAGCCACGGCUAACUACGUGCCAGCAGCCGCGGUAAUACGUAGGUGGCAAGCGUUAUCCGGAUUUAUUGGGCGUAAAGGGAACGCAGGCGGGCUUUUAGGUCUGAUGUGAAAGCCUUCGGCUUAACCGGAGUAGUGCAUUGGA